UAGUACGGCCACACCACUGUGACAACCCGACCCCGUCUGAUCUCGGAAGCUAAGCGCAGUCGGGCCCGGUUAGCACUUGGAUGGGAGACCACCUGGGAAUACCUGGUGCUGUAAGCU
rnacentral:rRNA from 1 species